rnacentral:rRNA from 1 species
CUGCUGCCUCCCGUAGGAGUCUGGUCCGUGUCUCAGUACCAGUGUGGGGGACCUUCCUCUCAGAACCCCUACGCAUCGUCGCCACGGUGGGCCGUCACCCCGCCGUCUAGCUAAUGCGCCGCAUGCCCAUCCGCCACCGGAUCGCUCCUUUGGCCACCGGAGGAUGCCCUCCGGUGGCGUCACGGGGUAUUAGGCCGCGUUUCCGCGGGUUAUCCCCCUGUGGCGGCCAGGUUGCAUACGUGUUACUCACCCGUGCGUCGGUCGCCGG